rnacentral:misc_RNA from 1 species
GGAAGGAUCAUUACCGAGUUCAUGCCCUCACGGGUAGAUCUCCCACCCUUUGUAUACCAUACCUUUGUUGCUUUGGCGGGCCGCCUAGCUACUGGCUUCGGCUGGUAAGUGCCCGCCAGAGGACCCAAAACCCUGAAUAUUAGUGUCGUCUGAGUAAAAUUUUAAUAUUUAAAACUUUCAACAACGGAUCUCUUGGCUCUGGCAUCGAUGAAGAACGCAGCGAAAUGCGAUAAGUAAUGUGAAUUGCAGAAUUCAGUGAAUCAUCGAAUCUUUGAACGCACAUUGCGCCCCUUGGUAUUCCGAGGGGCAUGCCUAUUCGAGCGUCAUUAUCACCCCUCAAGCUUCGGCUUGGUGUUGAGGCCUGCUGUAAAGGCACCCUCUAAAAUCAGUGGCAGUGCUGUCAGGCUCUAAGCGUAGUAAUUUCAUCGCUAUAGGGUCCUGGUGGAUACUCGUCAAAACCCCCCCAUUUUUUAAUGAUUGACCCCGGAUUAGGUAGGGAUACCCGCUGAACUUAAGCAUAUCAAUAAGCGGAGGAAAGAAACCAACAGGGAUUGCCUCAGUAACGGCGAGUGAAGCGGCAAAAGCUCAAAUUUGAAAUCUGGCUCUUUUAGGGUCCGAGUUGUAAUUUGUAGAAGAUGUUUCGGGUGUGGCUCCGGUUUAAGUUCUUUGGAAUAUUACAUCAUAGAGGGUGAGAAUCCCGUAUGUGACCGGCAGCCUUCGCCUAUGUGAAACUCUUUCGACGAGUCGAGUUGUUUGGGAAUGCAGCUCAAAAUGGGAGGUAUAUUUCUUCUAAAGCUAAAUACUGGCCAGAGACCGAUAGCGCACAAGUAGAGUGAUCGAAAGAUGAAAAGUACUUUGGAAAGAGAGUCAAAAAGCACGUGAAAUUGUUGAAAGGGAAGCGCUUGCAGCCAGACUUGCCCGCAGUUGCUCACCUAGGCUUUCGCCUGGGGCACUCUUCUGCGGGCAGGCCAGCAUCAGUUUGGGCGGUUGGAUAAAGGCCUCUGUCACGUAUCUCCCUUCGGGGUGACCUUAUAGGGGAGGCGUAAUGCAACCAGCCCGGACUGAGGUCCGCGCAUCUGCUAGGAUGCUGGCGUAAUGGCUGUAAGCGGCCCGUCUUGAAACACGGACCAAGGAGUCUAACAUCUAUGCGAGUGUUUGGGUGUCAAGCCGAGCGCGCAAUGAAAGUGAACGGAGGUGGGAACCCUUUGGGUGCACCAUCGACCGAUCCUGAUGUCUUCGGAUGGAUUUGAGUAAGAGCAUAGCUGUUGGGACCCGAAAGAUGGUGAACUAUGCUUGAAUAGGGUGAAGCCAGAGGAAACUCUGGUGGAGGCUCGCAGCGGUUCUGACGUGCAAAUCGAUCGUCAAAUUUGGGCAUAGGGGCGAAAGACUAAUCGAACCAUCUAGUAGCUGGUUCCUGC